UAAGAGCUCAUUAGAAUCUAUAAGAUAGCAGGAAUUUUGCCAACAAGGGCUGCAUAGAAACCACAGGGGCAACUCGGCCAGGGCUGCUCCCAUUGCGGUGGCCAAGAACUGGCUGAGGGCACGACACUGGACUCUUGGGAUAAACACUUUACUCUGGGUGAAGGCUGCAUAUUUAAGGACACAACUGCACAUUUAGAUCAAGCAGUGGUGAUCUCAGGGCAUACACGGAGCUUCAUGCUGAGAACACCCAGGGGUCCUCUAGAGUCUUCCUCCUCGUCUUUAAUUUCAGAAAUUCUGUCUACAGAUUUAAGGAUUUCGGCAGCAAGAUUCAGUAUCUCAGCUCUGGAAACCAGUUGCUUAAUGGAAGCCUGUGCGCUGUUCAUGACCACCCAGAGGUUCUGCAAGGCCACGUCGGCGUUCUGCUUCACCACUGUCAGGCUGGCCCCCUGGUCGCACCGCAAGGCUUCAUUCUCUCGCUGGAAGCUGGAGACCUGCGCCUGCAGCAAACUGAUUUCCUGUUUCAGUUUCACGACAUGGUUUUCUGCCUUUACAGCCCGUUUGGUCAUCAGCUCCAGGUUCUGCUCCACCUGCUGAACCACCAACUCCAAGUCGUGGUAGUCGCUUUCCUCGUUGAUCAUUUUUGCUUCUAAUUUCCGCACAAGCGUCCUCACCAUUUCUGUUUGAGCUUCAGAGAAGCUCUGAAUCUCAUUCAGCUUUCUUCUCAGCUUAGAAUUUUCACCUUUCAGUGCUUCGUAACUUAUCUGCAGCGUCCGCAGGUGCCUGUCUCCCAGAGACUCUCCCUGAGCCGCAAAAUCGGUGCUAGGACUCCCUGCCGGAGAGGCCGGAGACACGCGAGAAUCAGUGUCACUCAACGCCCACGGGAGCAGAGACUCGGGCCCUGCCAGCUCUGACGGGGUGGAGAAAAAGGAAAGGUAUGUGCUGCAGGGCGACGUGCAGGCAGGGACCCUCUCCGGGUGAGUCUGCUGGAUGGCGGACGGCAGGCCGAUGUUCUUGGUCUUCAGAAACUCUUUAAAGGAGAAUGGAUUUGCCUCUUCAAGAUCUUCAAAUUUGUCAUCUCCAAAAUGUGUCUCGUGGGCUCCUGACGGGCUCUGCUUAGAACAUUUCCCCUUUCCAUAGCCCAAAUCGUCGGGAAUGGCGAGGCUCCGGGCUCGGGACAGCGGGGUGACGCCCC
rnacentral:lncRNA from 1 species